GGUAGGGGGAUGGAAGUAGAAGGAACAUGGGCUUAAGACAGAAAGAAAAUCAGGGAUCCCUGGGUGGCGCAGCAGUUUGGCGCCUGCCUUUGGCCCAGGGCGCGAUCCUGGAGACCCGGGAUCGAAUCCCACAUCGGGCUCCCGGUGCAUGGAGCCUGCUUCUCCCUCUGCCUGUGUCUCUGCACCUCUCUCUCUCUCUCUCUGUGACUAUCAUAAAUAAAUUUAAAAAAAAUUAAAAAAAAAAAGACAGAAAGAAAAUCAGCCUUGGAAUAGAAAAUACCAGAGCAGAAGAAGAGUUUUGAAAUGCCCUUGGCCAGAUAUUCCCAAUAUCUUUUUGGAAUGAAGAUACCGGUAAGUUCCAGGGGCUCCGGGCCAGAUGGUGCGCGCUCACGGAAAGAGCUGCUGCGGCUGCAAGUACCGGGUCCCCGGUGUCAGAAAAGCCCCACGUGUGAAUCAACAGGCUUUGCAUCUCUGCUCUCCAAGGGUCUGCUCUGUCAGCAAGUGGUCUGAAAGCCAGGAAAUUGUGUUAUCGGCCGCAUGGCGACCGUCCUGUACAUUUUCUUUAUAAUUUCCUUUUUAGGGAGAGGGAGCCAAGCAUUGCCACCAAACAAGGACCAUUUAUGGACUACUCAGUCGCAUUUGCGAAGAGCUGCUGCGGCGGCCUCGUGAUCCUAAGCGUAAACCUUAGCCCAUCUCAGCCAAGAGCACAGGCUCAGCAUUCAGGAGAGCAGAAAAAAAUGAAAGCCGAAAGCUGAAGCCCGAGUUCUGCACAGACGGCUGUAUGGUGGCUAAUUUAGAAGGGAAAUUGCAACAUCUCCAGUGGUGGCAUUCGAUUUAUCAUACCCAGCUUGUCCAAAGACACGAAAAAGCUCCUUUGUGCUUGGAUCUUAAAUUCCCCAACAGAAAUUUCUGUUAUUUUUCUUGUAGGUUUUUGAAAUAAAGACAAUUCUUAAGGAA